AGCGACGGCUCUCUUCUGGCACUUCGCCCCGAGCUUUCCUCCUCGUGUGCCGGCGCUGCUGCAUAUCCUCCUCUCUCGGGCCGCCCGCCUGAGACUAGUGCAGUCGGAGUAGUCCCGAGUCAGCGUCGUCGCCGCCGCCGCGACGACUCGAGAGAGAGAGAGAGAGUGAGAGCGUAACGAGCACCGCGAGUGGCUGGACGGAAGGAAGGAAGGACUCACCGCGCGCACAUACACGCGGAAGUGUGUGUCUUCGGAGCGGUCUGUUUUGACGAGCAGCUGAGUUUGUUUUUCGAGAAACCGACCGAUCGACCUGCGCAUCGAUUUCGCCGCGCGCGUAAUUUCGAACCACAGUGACACUCGGCAGUGACGUCUCGCGGGGGUGUGCGAUGGUCCUCCAGGUGUCUCGGUGAACGGAGUGCCCCGCGUGCCCGGCGAGGAGAAUUUCCAAUCAAGGAAGAAAGACCGAAGGAGAAAGGAAUAUCGUCGUCGGCGGGAAAUCGCACGAGUCCCGGAGGGAAAAGAGGACUCGUAACGACGCUCCGCCGCCGACCGGCCUGAAAUAACAACGGGAAUACGUGUACAGUGAAUCAGCUCUCGUUCGUCGUUCGUUCGUUCGUAUCGCGAAUUUCCGGCGACUGAAGCUCUCCGUCCGAGCCACCCCUCUUCUUCGUUUCCUCGUCAACCCCGCUCGUUGUUCGGCAGAUUCUGUGUUCGAGGAGAGGAUUCCCGAGAAAGAGAGAGAGAGAGAGAACGGAGACUGAGAAAAGCCAGAAGCGCCACGAAGAAGAGGCGAGGAGGAGGAAGAACUGAGCGAAGAAGGAUCGAGGGGUGUUUUCGGGGCCAAGCCAGAAGGAGUUUUCUCGGAAGGGAGCUCGCGAGAGAGCACGGCGAUAUCCGGCGUAAUGAUCUUCGGCUGGAAGCCGGCUGCCACGAAAUAAUGAGACCGUUCUGCUCCGAGGGAUCCUCGCCUCCCUAAUCUCGAUCGGCCAAUCCGGUAACACAGCACGGCUACCAGAUUUUUCUUUCUAAACGAGGAUCUCCGUGUCCGCGGCUCACCGUGAGAGAUUUUAUCGGUCGGUGCCCGGCGCGCUCGAGAGCUGCCUCAGGAGGAACAAGAGGAUCGUGUCACGAGAGCGUUAUGUCUCUUCCCUUCGACGAAAGCAAUGCGGUGCUUUAGAACCCGAAAACAAAACGGAAGUCUCCGAUGCCGCGAUUACACAUCUAGCCGCCACAUGCCCGGUGUCGAACGAAUCGAAAUGGCGACGUGGUUCUGUCUUAUCCUCCUCGUGCUCCUCGAGGCCCUGGACGCCGGAUUAGCGCGAGUUGCUCGGCUAGAAACGACAAGCAAUCCCGACAUCGUGGUGACCACGGGCGACAAGCUGAGCCUGCGUUGUCUGCCGAAUCUCGACGACGAGACCACGUGGUAUAAGGAUGACAUGGAGCUGCAUCGGUUCGCCCCGAGGAUGCGGCUGACGAAGCAGACGUUGAAGUUCAAGCACAUCGAUGCCACGGACGCGGGUCUCUACGCUUGCAGGCUGCGCUCCCCCGAAGGAGUCGAGUGGCGGAACGUGACCGUCCGCGUGGAAUCGCCGCAGAACGACAGCGUCCAGGGUGGCGAGGGUGAAGAGACGAGCGGCGCGAUCGACGCGCUCAGGCCGGAGGAAGAGACCAACGAUCUGGAGAUCGAAACCAGAAACCUGCCUGAGACGCGGUCGUUGCGGCUGGAAAACGACAAGAUGGACGCGGAGCUGGACAACGAGAGGGGCGAGAACGACACGGCGAGCGAGCAGAACAACACCGCGCCGGAGAGCCCGCCCGCGUUCAACAAGAGCGACGAGAUGCAUCCGGCGGUGGUGAAACCGGCCGGUAACAUGCUGCGACUGAGGUGUCCGAGCGUCGGCAAUCCCAGGCCGAACAUCACCUGGCUGAAGAACAACGAGGAGCCGCGACGGCUCCUCGGCUCGGCCAUUAAGACCAAGUGGACCCUCAGGUUGGAGGAUCUCGUGCCGAAGGACAGCGGGAAUUACACGUGCAUCGUGUGCAAUUACCUUGGAUGCAUCAACCACACCUUCAAAGUCGACAUAAUCGAGACGGUGAUGCACCGGCCGAUCCUGACGAGAGCACCGCGAAAUCAAACGGUUCUUAUCGGCAGCGACACCGAUAUGAUCUGCGAAGUGUUGUCCGAAGCGCAUCGCCAUCUCGAAUGGUAUCACGGUUACCAUACCUCUUUCGACACCCUCAACAUAACCAAUCAGAGCUUACGGGUGGAGGUCAAGACGGAUAAUCCGGAAGUGCUGAAGCUUUGCAACGUUACCGAGAAGGAUGAGGGAUGGUACACGUGCAUCGCCCAGAACGCUCUCGGGGAAACAUUCAGCAGCGCCUAUCUUCGCGUCGUCGAGACGUUGGACGAGCAGCGCGUACCGUUGACCGCGAGACCGCAGAUCCUGGUGAACGUUUUGGCGGCGGUGCUCUGCGUGUUCUUCGCCUUCGGCGUCGUCGUGGUGAUAUAUAUCUUCCACCGGCUGAAACGCGAGAAGAUGAAGAAGCUGCUCGCGAUCGAAACCGCGCGCGCAGCGGUAGUCACGCAAUGGACGAAGAAGGUGAUCGUGGAGAAGCAGAAUCUGGUGAAUGCGCAGAACAUCGACGACUCGCUGCUGAUGCCGGUGGUGAAGAUUGAGAAGCAGAAGUCGACGGUCAUCGCCGAAGACAGUAGCGGUGACAACGUGUCGGAAUACGAAUUGCCGUUGGACAGCGCCUGGGAACUGCCGCGGGAGUAUUUCAUGCUGGGCGAAAUCCUGGGUGAGGGAGCCUUCGGCAAGGUCGUCAAGGCCGAAACGAACACCAGCAGAUCCGGCAUACCCGGCGUCGUCGCUGUAAAAAUGCUGAAAGAGGGUCACACGGACACCGAGAUGAUGGAUCUGGUCUCCGAGAUGGAGAUGAUGAAGAUGAUCGGCAAGCACGUGAACAUCAUCAACCUGUUGGGCGCCUGCACGCAAAACGGCCCGCUCUACGUCGUGGUGGAGUUCGCUCCUCACGGCAACCUGAGGGACUUCCUGCGCAACCACAGACCCUCCUCGGGCUACGAGCCGGCCAUCGGGCAGGAGCCGAAGGAACGGAAAACGCUCACGCAAAAGGACCUGGUCUCCUUCGCCUAUCAAGUGGCACGGGGGAUGGAGUAUCUGGCAAGCAGGAGAUGCAUACACAGGGACCUGGCCGCCAGGAAUGUCCUCGUCAGCGACGAGUACGUGCUGAAGAUCGCCGACUUCGGCCUAGCCAGGGACAUCCACUGCCACGACUACUACAGGAAGACGACGGACGGACGGCUGCCGGUGAAAUGGAUGGCGCCCGAGGCCCUCUUCCACCGCGUUUACACCACUCAGUCCGACGUAUGGUCGUACGGCAUUCUGUUGUGGGAAAUUAUGACGCUGGGCGGCACACCUUAUCCGUCCGUGCCGUCGGUCGAAAGACUAUUCCAGCUACUUAGAACCGGACACCGAAUGGAGAAGCCGCCCUGUUGCUCGAUCGAGAUAUACAUGCUCAUGAGGGAAUGCUGGAGUUAUCAGCCAAACGAGAGGCCGACGUUCGUGGAACUGGUGGAGGAUCUCGACAGAAUAUUGACCAUUACCGCGAACGAGGAAUAUCUGGAUCUUGGCCUGCCUCAAUUGGAUACACCUCCGUCCAGCCAAGAAUCGAGCGCGACGGAGGAGGACGGCGAGGAGAAAUUUCCAUACCUGCUGUGAGGCGUGCAGCUCACCGCGAUUUGACGGAAAGAUUAUCAUGCGGACGCAGGCUAAGCGCGAAGUGAUCCGAGAAUGACUCGCAGACCACGGAGAAACACAUCGGCGUGUACCUGGCGUCUUACCGUGCGGGAACGUGUGAGUCGAAACGCGAAAAACAAACGAGUGAGAUCGCCCGAAAUGGCCACACGUGGAAGACGAUAUCGACUGAAGCAAACUGAACACGCCAAAUAAGAUGAAUCAGUAUUGACCUGUAGCGCGUAUUCCUCAUGUAGAGUUAAGGGAGAGCGCGUUGAUCGUACAGGAGAUUCUAUUAAUGCACUCUCAUUCCCUCUAGGCGUAGUAAUGUUGAAAAUUUUCAAUUUGGAAGCAUCAUUUCUGAAUAUUUCACAUUGUAACUGUGUUCACACAGCGAACAGUCAGUGAUUAUUGGUGUUCUUUGUUAGAUUCUUAAAUUUCGAGCGAUUACGCUGACGAAUUACUUAACCGUUGUGAAUUUUUAUGAUCUGCGUAAUUUUUAUUAUAAAUUUGUAUAAUCGUCCCCAUUUCAUUUAAGAAACAUUUUUCACCUCACUUUCAUCUAAAUCAACCUGAGGUAAACGUUCCGAAAUCAUUUGAGGUAAACACUGGUCAUGAUACACGAAUAUUCAGACGUAAUGCGUUUAAUUGGGAAUUUUUAUGUCACUAUAUUCAGGAAAUAGGACCGCAUUAAUCCUCUUUUGUACACUGAGACGAAAAAAAUAGCAGAGUCAGCGAAAUUUUGCUUACGAACAAACUUUCGUCGAGCACACCGUUUGAAGAGGGUGAUUCGAAAUAAACGUUUGUCUGUUGAAAGGUCGUAUUCCUGAUUGAAUUCUGAGAUAACUUUACAUUGAUGUCGGCUGAUCGUUUAUUUCGCUGAUUCUACUGCUUUUUCUCAACACAGAUCAGCAGAGAGAGAGAGAGAGAGAGAGAGAGAGAGAGAGAGAGAGAAAGAGAGAGAGA